UUAAGAAUCUUGCGCAAUGGGGGAAACCCUGACGCAGCGACGCCGCGUGAAGGAUGAAGGCUUUCGGGUUGUAAACUUCGGUAGACUGGGAAGAAGAAAUACGUUCGUUGAGGGCGUAUAGUGACGGUACCAGUCUGAAGCCCCGGCUAAUUACGUGCCAGCAGCCGCGGUAAUACGUAUGGGGCAAGCGUUGUUCGGAAUUAUUGGGCGUAAAGGGCUCGCAGGUGGUUUGUUAAGUUGGGGGUUUAAU
rnacentral:rRNA from 1 species